rnacentral:lncRNA from 1 species
ACACCUUAUCUCUCUAAAACGAUUAGAAAUUUAUGGAUGCUCGAGGCUCCAAUCAUUGACAGAAGCGGGUCUUCAACACCUCACCUCUCUUGAAAAAUUGGAGAUCGCAAACUGCCCAAUGCUCCAAUCCUUGACAAAAGUGGGUCUUCAACACCUCACCUCUCUUAAAACACUAGGGAUCAAUAACUGCCGAAUGCUCCAAUCCUUGACAGAAGUGGGUCUUCAACACCUCACCUCUCUUGAAAGUUUGUGGAUCAAUAACUGCCCAAUGCUCCAAUCCUUGACAAAAGUGGGUCUUCAACACCUCACCUCUCUUGAAAGUUUGUGGAUCAAUAAGUGCUCAAUGCUCCAAUCCUUGACAAAAGUGGGUCUUCAACACCUCACCUCUCUCAAAACAUUGCGGAUCUAUGACUGUAGUAAGCUCAAAUACUUGACAAAAGAGAGACUUCCAGACUCCCUCUCUUAUCUGUUCAUCUACAAAUGUCCUUUACUGGAAAAACGGUGUCAAUUUGAGAAAGGGGAAGAAUGGCGUUAUAUAGCUCACAUUCCAAAUAUAGAGAUCAAUGGUGUGCUAUAUUAAUCAAAGUGCCACUCCGCCAAUAUAGAGUCAGGUAAUUCUUUUGCGCUUGAACUUUUCUUUCAAGUUCCAAUUCAUUCGCUAGUCCUGUUUAUUUGAUUUAAGAUUUUCUUUUUCUUGAAGCUUCAAGCCUGAAACAAAUAUUGAACACAUUUUCAUGCUCUGUUUUGAUUUGGUGGUUUGCAAAAAUAACCAUUUAUAACCAUUGAAAAAAUAAGAAAAAAUAACAAAGAACCAUGGAUAUUUCGUUUGUUUGUAUUUUAUUUUCU